UACGAAGGGGGCUAGCGUUGCUCGGAAUCACUGGGCGUAAAGCGCACGUAGGCGGAUUGCUAAGUCAGGGGUGAAAUCCUGGAGCUCAACUCCAGAACUGCCCUUGAUACUGGCGGUCUCGAGUCCGGGAGAGGUGAGUGGAACUGCGAGUGUAGAGGUGAAAUUCGUAGAUAUUCGCAAGAACACCAGUGGCGAAGGCGGCUCUCUGGGACGGUACUGACGCUGAGACGCGAAAGCGUGGGGAGCGAACAGG
rnacentral:rRNA from 1 species